ACCAUGGGUGGAAGCAGUGGGCUGUGGUUACUAGAGAGGCUGGCCAUAGUCCAGGAAGAUGACAGCAGCCUUGACAAUCCCAGACCACCACUGGGCUUGCUCUGGCCCAGACCAUGGAACCCAUUCCUCCUUCCCCUCGGCACAAAGAUGUCAGCCUAGCAACCCGCAGCCGGGCCCAGCCAGGAGUCUGGCCUCGGUGCCCACUGGGAGAUCCGGUCCAAGGGUAGACAGCAGUGCAGGAGACCCCUACCUCAUCUGCAUCUCCACACUGAGGCUGUGGAGGAAAUGUCCAGCGAAGGCCAGGCAGUCCACGGGGGUGAGUGUGGCGUAUAUCCAGCCUGGAAGAGAAACGCAGAGCUGUGGCUAGCUUCUAUCUUGUUUCCAUGACUGCUUUCACCUCCCCCACACACCAUGGACUCCAGCUCCUGCCAUCCCAGACCUUUGCCUCAUUGGUCCUCCCUGCUCACGACAGGGAUCAUGCUAAUGAUAAUGCUUGGGACCUGUUGGGACAUCUGGGAGUGGCCUCCUAUUUCAAGGCAAGCAGUAGGCCUGGGAGGUGCAGAGCAGCCGCCACAGUGCGAUUCCACGGAGAUGAAGACAGGAGAACCAAGCCUGCAUGGUGAUUCCUGGGCAGCUCACAGGACAGCAGCAGGCCAUGCAGAGCAGGACACCAAGUCAGGCCUUGCAGCCUCCACCCAGGGCAGAACCCCAAGUAAGGCUUCACAGUCCCCACACCAGGGUUGAACCCCGAGCCAGGCUUCACAACCCCAGGACCCCAUGCAGGAACCAGAGCCAGCUCUCACAGCCCUCACAUCAGGACGGCAUGGACCCUGAGCCAGACCCACCAAGCCCCAACCCAGAGUAGCCUGUCACCUGGUGUCUGAGAAUUCAAGCUGAUGAGGAAAAGCUGAGGCUCUUCAAAUAAUCAAGGAUAGAACAGUCUUUACAGAAGAGUCAUGCCCAAGAGAGGAAGAAACAACACAGAAUGGACAGGCAAACAUGCCCUUUUGUCGGGGUCCACAGUGGCUGCUCAAACACAAGGUGGAAGCUUUUGGAGCAUCCGUGGACAAGAAGCCUGGACACCAGGCCCCACUGAGCAUGGCAGCAUCACUACAGGUGUGUGUUAGGCACUGUAGGUGUCCUCAAAGAUGGAGGUGCACCCACUGGGAAGGGAGAGCCACAAAUUCUUGAGUGGAAAUGCAAGAAGGGCUGCAAGCUGAAGCCUACAGGAAAACACCCAGGACCCAGUGAUCUGCCAGAUGCCAUAGCAGAGACUCUGACAACCAAUCACAUGUUGGAUAUGAGAAAUUCUGGAGGACCCACCAAACUAACAAAAUGGCAGGGGUGUGAGGCUUUCACAGAAGAUGUAAAGGACAUGAAAACCAAAUGCUACCCAUGGGUCCUGUUUAAAGUCUGUAUCAAGUGGCCAAAUAUAAAGAGUCUUUUGUAUUUCUGGAGAUAAAACCCAGGACCUUG